UGGGGAAUAUUGCACAAUGGGCGCAAUCCUGAUGCAGCCAUGCCGCGUGUGUGAAGAAGGCCUUCGGGUUGUAAAGCACUUUCAGCGGGGAGGAAGGCGAUAAGGUUAAUAACCUUGUCGAUUGACGUUACCCGCAGAAGAAGCACCGGCUAACUCCGUGCCAGCAGCCGCGGUAAUACGGAGGGUGCAAGCGUUAAUCGGAAUUACUGGGCGUAAAGCGCACGCAGGUGGUCGGUCAAGUCGGAUGUGAAAUCCCCGGGCUUAACCUGGGAACUGCAUUCGAAACUGGCAGGCUAGAGUCUUGUAGAGGGGGGUAGAAUUCCAGGUGUAGCGGUGAAAUGCGUAGAAAUCUGGAGGAAUACCGGUGGCGAAGGCGGCCGCCUGGACAAAGACUGACGCUCAGGUGCGAAGGAGGGGGGAGCAAAAAGG
rnacentral:rRNA from 1 species